CCCUGGUUAGCUCAGUUGGUAGAGCGCUCCACUUGUAAUGGAGAGGUCCCAGAUUCGAUACCCGGACCAGGCG
rnacentral:tRNA from 1 species